rnacentral:rRNA from 1 species
AGAGUUUGAUCCUGGCUCAGAACGAACGCUGGGGGCGUGCUUAACACAUGCAAGUCGAACGUGAUCCAGAGCUUGCUCUGGUGAAAGUGGCGCACGGGUGAGUAACGCGUGGAUAACCUGCCCUGGUAUCUGGGAUAACAUCUCGAAACGGGUGCUAAUACCGGAUAAGCCUACGGACUCUUCGGAGUCUGCAGGAAAAGGUGGCCUCUAUUUAUAAGCUACCGUAUCAGGAUGAGUCCGCGUACCAUUAACUAGUUGGUGGGGUAAUGGCCCACCAAGGCUACGAUGGUUAGCUGGUCUGAGAGGAUGAUCAGCCACACUGGAACUGAGACACGGUCCAGACUCCUACGGGAGGCAGCAGUGGGGAAUUUUGCGCAAUGGGGGAAACCCUGACGCAGCAACGCCGCGUGAGUGAUGAAGGCUUUCGGGUCGUAAAGCUCUGUCGGAGGGGAAGAAAUGGAAACGGUUAAUACCCGUUUUUCUUGACGGUACCCUCAAAGGAAGCACCGGCUAACUCCGUGCCAGCAGCCGCGGUAAUUC